rnacentral:rRNA from 1 species
GACGAACGCUGGCGGCGUGCCUAACACAUGCAAGUCGAACGGUCCGGCACUCAACCGACCCUCAGUCUAACUGUAGGGGAAGUUGAGUGCCGGAUAGUGGCGGACGGGUGAGUAACGCGUGGGCAACCAACCCUGUACAGUGGGAUAACACCGGGAAACCGGUGCUAAUACCGCAUGACACCUAGAUGGUGCAUACUGUUUAGGUUAAAGGGCAAAACCGGUACGGGACGGGCCCGCGUCCCAUUAGCUGGUUGGUGAGGUAACGGCUCACCAAGGCGACGAUGGGUAGCCGACCUGAGAGGGUGACCGGCCACACUGGGACUGAGACACGGCCCAGACUCCUACGGGAGCAGCAGUGAGGAAUAUUGCGCAAAUGGACGGAAGUCUGACGCAGCGACGCCGCGUGAGCGACGAAGGCCUUCGGGUCGUAAAGCUCUGUUCUUGGGGACGAAUAAAAUGACGGUAACCCAAGGAAGAAAGACCCCGGCUAACUACGUGGCCAGCCAGCCCGCGGGUAAAAACUCACCGGUAGUA